rnacentral:rRNA from 1 species
GAUGAACGCUGGUGGCGUGCCUAAUACAUGCAAGUCGAGCGAAUGGAUUAAGAGCUUGCUCUUAUGAAGUUAGCGGCGGACGGGUGAGUAACACGUGGGUAACCUGCCCAUAAGACUGGGAUAACUCCGGGAAACCGGGGCUAAUACCGGAUAAUAUUUUGAACUGCAUGGUUCAAAAUUGAAAGGCGGCUUCGGCUGUCACUUAUGGAUGGACCCGCGUCGCAUUAGCUAGUUGGUGAGGUAACGGCUCACCAAGGCAACGAUGCGUAGCCGACCUGAGAGGGUGAUCGGCCACACUGGGACUGAAACACGGCCCAGACUCCUACGGGAGGCAGCAGUAGGGAAUCUUCCGCAAUGGACGAAAGUCUGACGGACCAACGCCGCGUGAGUGAUGAAGGCUUUCGGGUCGUAAAACUCUGUUGUUAGGGAAGAACAAGUGCUAGUUGAAUAAGCUGGCACCUUGACGGUACCUAACCAGAAAGCCACGGCUAACUACGUGCCAGCCGCCGCGGUAA